AACGGGGGUUGGGUGGGGGGUCCAACCCGGUGGGUCUGGGGUCCCACAAAGGCUCCAUCACCUCCUGCUGCCGGCUUCCCUUCCGUCUGUCGCUGUGCAAACCCAAGGCAAACGAAGGCGAGUGCCGAUUUUUGGGGUUUUUUUUGGUCGCUCACUCGACGGUGCCGGUGUCGGGUUUUUUUUGGGUUUUUUUUCCUGAUCCGGUGUCGUUUGCUCGGUGCCGGUGUUGUUUUGCUCGGUGCCAGUGUCGUUUGCUCAGUGCCGGUGUCAUUUGCUUGGUACCGGUGUUGUCGGUACCGGUGUUGUUUGCACGGUGCCGGUGUCAUUUUCUCAGUGCCGGUGUCGUUUUGCUCGUUACCGGUGUUGUUGGUGCUGGUGUCGUUUGAUUGGUGCCGAUGUUGUUUGCUUGGUGCUGGUGUCGUUUGCUCAGUGCCGGUGUCGUUUGCUCGGUACCGGUGUUGUCAGUGCCGGUGUCAUUUGCUCGGUGCCGGUGUCGUUUGCUCGGUACCGGUGUUGUCGGUACCGGUGUCAUUUGCUCGGUGCCGAUGUCGUUUGCUCGGUGCCGGUAUCAUUUACUCGGUGCCGGUGUUGUCGGUACCGGUGUUGUUUGCUCGGUGCCGGUGUUGUUGGUACUGGUGUCGUUUGCUCGAUGCCGGUGCCGUUUGCUCAGUACCGGUGUUGUUUGCACGGUGCCGGUGUUGUUGGUGCCGGUGUCGUUUGCUCAGUGCCGGUGUCGUUUGCUCGGUGCCGCUGUCGUUUGCACAGUGCCGGUGUUGUUUGCUCGGUGCCGGUGUUGUUGGUACCAGUGUUGUUUUGCUCGGUGCGGGUGUUGUUGGUACUGGUGUCAUUUGCUCGGUGCCGGUGUCGUUUUGCUUGGUACCGGUGUCGUUUGCUCGGUGCCAGUGUUGUUGGUUCCGGUGUCGUUUACUCGGUGCCAGUGUCGUUUGCACAGUGCCGGUGCCGUUUGCUCGGUGCCGGUGUUGUUGGUACCAGUGUCGUUUUGCUUGGUGCCGGUGUUGUCGGUGCCGGUGUCGUUGGCUCGGUACCGGUGUCGUUUUGCUCGGUACCGGCAUCACAGACAGACGUUGAUCUGUUUGGCCAACUCCCUCUCGAGGUCGAGGAUGAGAGCAUCGAAGUCUUUGAGGUUAAGCAUCGGAGCGAACGACGAAUCGCUUUCGUCGCCGAGACCAAAAUCGGUCACGAUAAGGGUCCGGCGAUUCGCGACACGACUGUCGCCGCUCGUCACCUCCUCGUAUCUCCCCAGCUCGAUGCUCCAGUCGCCGGCGUAGCGGUUGCUGGGGGGGCUUUCGGGUCCCCGGGGGCGAUGCCGGGCGACCACGGCUGUGUCCACGAGGUCCAGGCGGAGGGGGGGCUGCUGAGGGUGGCUGGGGGGCGACUGGGGGGCCA
rnacentral:lncRNA from 1 species